AGUGAACGCUGGCGGUAGGCCUAACACAUGCAAGUCGAACGGCAGCACAGUAAGAGCUUGCUCUUACGGGUGGCGAGUGGCGGACGGGUGAGGAAUACAUCGGAAUCUACUUUUUCGUGGGGGAGAACGUAGGGAAACUUACGCUAAUACCGCAUACGACCUACGGGUGAAAGCAGGGGAUCUUCGGACCUUGCGCGAUUGAAUGAGCCGAUGUCGGAUUAGCUAGUUGGCGGGGUAAAGGCCCACCAAGGCGACGAUCCGUAGCUGGUCUGAGAGGAUGAUCAGCCACACUGGAACUGAGACACGGCCCAGACUCCUACGGGAGGCAGCAGUGGGGAAUAUUGGACAAAGGGCGCAAGCCUGAUCCAGCCAUACCGCGUGGGUGAAGAAGGCCUUCGGGUUGUAAAGCCCUUUUGUUGGGAAAGAAAAGCAGCAGGUUAAUACCCCGCUGUUCUGACGGUACCCAAAGAAUAAGCACCGGCUAACUUCGUG
rnacentral:rRNA from 1 species